UCUCUGUAUCUUCGACGUUUCACUGCUGUACUCGCGUGCCGCGAUGCAAGUGGUGCGUCAAUCUGCUUGAUCGCGGCGGGAGGUAAGAGGGAGAGCUUCAGGACAGGACGGCCUUACUGCCUACUCGGCGUGAUGUGCAGCGAGGCGUCUAUGAUCAAGGGGAGAGGAGAGCGAGGCAGGGAGAGAGCGAACUCAAGGGGACGCGGGGUCGCAUCGCUGACAAUACGUCGUCACUCGAGUCUCUCUCUGGCCCCUUCGCCUUCUCUUGCAGGGGGCGUCGUCUAUUACGCAGAAAAAAAAAGACAAUAUAUAUGUAGGUGUGUAUACGCAUAUGUAAUAUAUAUGUGUGUGUGUGCGCCAUUCCUCCACAUACCGACCAACGCACAAAAUACUGCCCCUCUCGCUCUUUUUUUCUUCUCGUCCUUCCUCUCACGUCGCUUUCUGGCACCCUUUGGACGCACUGCACCGCACGCGUUUCCUCCUUCCUGGUUGGCGCCGGGGUGCGUGCUGAACACACCCCCCUCUUUCUCCCACGUCUUCUCCUUGUACCAG
rnacentral:misc_RNA from 1 species